CAGGUCUUGUUUUAGUUGGACGAGGA
rnacentral:piRNA from 1 species